rnacentral:rRNA from 1 species
CCUACGGGCGGCAGCAGUGAGGAAUAUUGGUCAAUGGACGAGAGUCUGAACCAGCCAAGUAGCGUGAAGGAUGACUGCUCUAUGGGUUGUAAACUUCUUUUAUAAAGGAAUAAAACGAGGCACGUGUGCAAUAUUGCAUGUCCUUUAUGAAUAAGGAUCGGCUAACUCCGUGCCAGCAGCCGCGGUAAUACGGAGGAUCUGAGCGUUAUCCGGAAUUAUUGGGUUUAACGGGAGCGUAGAUGGGUUGUUAAGUCAGUUGUGAAAGUUUGCGGCUUAACCGUAAAAUUGCAAUUGAUACUGGCAGUCUUGAGUACAGUUGAGGUAGGCGGAAUUCGUGGUGUAGCGGUGAAAUGCUUAGAUAUCACGAAGAACCCCGAUUGCGAAGGCAGCUUACUAAACUGUGACUGACAUUGAUGCUCGAAAGUGUGGGUAUCAAACAGGAUUAGAUACCCUGGUAGUC